rnacentral:lncRNA from 1 species
UUUGUCCAUCAUCGGAGGUUGAACUCGAGCAGCUAAUUCACUCCAUUUUUGGGCGUACUCUUUGAAGGACUCAUUUGGGCCCUGGGUCAGACUUUGUAAUUGGGUCCUAUUAGGAGCCAUGUCGAUGUUUUAGUGGUAUUCCCUUACAAAUUCCUCGACCAAAUCCCUCCAAUUCUGGAUAUACUUUCUUUCCAAAUGCAUAUACCAUUUUAGCGAUGCCCCAUAUAGGUUGUUGAUCAGUCUCCAAUUCUA